UCACCCAUUUGGAUUGAAGGACUCAGCGUCCAACCCGUUGGCAAGGUGUUUUUCACUUCUUUUAACACUAACUCUACUUGCUUAGGCGGAAAAAGCGUAGCUGGUAGCCUUUCUGUCGCCAUUGUCGCUAGUCCAACGGCGAAAUUGGUCACCGAUUCGUCUAUCCAAGCGAGGGAUUUCUGAACGUGUCGAAAGACAUUAUCGAUUUUCUCGGUGGCUGACGCUUGCCGCUCCAUCUCUUGCUGAAAACUUCCAACUUGUUGGCUGACCUUCCAUGCUUCGGCUUCGACGUGGUUAAAGGCGACCCGUAACUCUCCGAUGGCUUUUGCUGCAGCCUGAGUUUCCCACAAGGUCUUCCUGCGUGGCUACUCCAAACAGCCAGUUUAGGAUCUUUCCUCCGCCAUCAGCUAUCGCUCUCUUCCUUCUUGGAUCAUUUAUUCCAACGGCCUCCUUCAACUCAUUAAGUCGUAGAUGGCUUUCACGCAGUUUUGCUAUUUCUACCUGUGUGCGAACAUUCAGCUGCCGCCGAAAACGUUCUUUGAAUUUGUCUUCCAAGGCGUCGUUCCGCGUGUCGAAGGUGAAGUCGGAGACAACUAUCCAUUCUGAGUCUGAGAAGGCUACAUCUUUUUCGGGUUUGAAGAUUACUCCUUGGUAGGCCACGAUCUCUUUUGCCGAUAUUUUCAACGGUGCGUUUAGUGUCAAAAACAAAAGGAAAAAUGGUAGUGCUAGUAUGAAUUGCUUCCUCGGUAUCCUUCCUCGGGCCGAUCGUCUUAAACCAGUCCCAUCCGGGGUUGCUGUUGGUAUUCCUGGU